rnacentral:lncRNA from 1 species
UAUUACUGUAAAAAGCAGCUUUUGUGUACGGUGAAGUCCUUUUCAUUUUGACUGCAUGUCUAGUGCUUUUUUCCUUUCUCAUUCUGAUGUUUCUUUUGUCUAGACUGCAGAGAUGAAUGAAAAACUCUCCAAGAUGGGUGAAAGCUCUCUUAGAAACUUUACAAUGGAUACAGAAUCAAGUGUUUAUAACUUUGAAGGAGAAGACUACAGAGAAAAACAAAAGGUAUUUUAGAAAGAGAUUUAGUGGGGCUUGGGUUGUGGCUCAGUGGUAGAGCAUUUGCCUGGCAUAUGUGCAGAACUGGGUUUGAUUCUCAGCACCACAUGUAAAUAAAUAAAACAAAGGUCCAUCAACAGCAACAAAAAAUUAAUUAAAAAAAAAAGAUUUAGUAAUGAAGCUUUGUUUUCCUGGAAACGUGAAUUUUUAAGUGCUAGAUGUAAUACCUUGUAAUUGUGUCUCAAACAGUAGUUUUUUAAUUAGAUGUAUGUAAAUGUAUCUAAAUUUUUUUCAUUAUGGAAAAUUUUACAUUUGUAAGUGCUGAAAUGUUUUUGUAUAUGGUUAUAGUGAAGUAUGUUCUUGCAACAAGAGAAUAUAGUGUUUGGGAUAUUUGAAAAUGAAAAUAAUGUCAAAAAAGUCACAGCUGAUUUUUUUAAACAGACUUGCUUGGUAAUAUGAAAAGGAAUAAUUUCUUAAUUUCAUAAGUAAUACUUGAUUAAUGUAGAAAUUAGAAAAUACCUAUAGAAAAGAAAAUAUAAUUCUACCUAGAGCAUAUCUAGAGUUUUCCUUAUUAACAUUUGGGCACAUAUAUCCCUAGAAGUUUUCCUAGGUUAAAUGUGUUUCUCCAUUUUCCUCCUAAUUUGGGUCAUAGCAAACAUUCUGCAGCAUUUUCUCUCACAUCCAACAGAAUUAUUCAUUUGGGCAAGAAAUACUUCUGAACACCUGUGCUGUUUACUAGACAUUGUCCUGUGUUAAUUACAUGGUAUUCAGCAAAACAUCAUAGUUCCUACCCUCGUCAAAGUGCAGGAUUUUUUUUUUUCAGUAUCUUUUAAUUCAUAAACAUCACUCAAUAAUAAUUUGUUACACUAAUAAUGCAAGUUGAUGAUUUUAAUUGUUUCCCACAUACUAGAUUGCAUUCACAGAGUGGAUUGAACCACCCAAACGCGAAAGAAAAGCCAACUAUGCUGUUGAUGCCUAUUUCAGGGAAGCUCUUCGCGUUAGUGAACCUAAAGCACCUAAAGUGAGUUGACAUAGCAUCAAAGUAUCUUAAAAUCUGAAAAUAUAAAUUAUUAUUUUUUAACAUUCUUGUAAUAAAAUAAGAUUGAAUAUUAUACUUUGUAUGCUUUUUAUAGAAUAUCCUCUUCAGAUUUCAAUUAACACUUGUUAAAAUUAAUUUUUAAGUUGUGUGUUUAAAAUUUGAUUAAUGUCAGUUCAGUUUUAUUGAAAGAUAUACUGAGUUGCUUGGAGAAUUGGCUGUUAUGAUUUAUUUUUCUUUCUUUCUUUUUUUUUUUUUAGGCUCCUCGACCUCCAAAACAACCCAAUGUUCAGGAUUUCCAGUUCUUUCCCCCACGUUUGUUUGAAUUACUG